CAAUUUAUUGGCCACAUAUCACGAGACAUUUAUAUACUCACUGACAUUCUGAAUCUCAACAAGAACCUACUUCUGAGUACUUUCCCUGUAGCUCAGAGCAAGCAGUUGGAUGAAUCCUUCACUUCAUAUGGUAUGUCACAUGCCCUUCAAAACCUAGAUAUAUCUAAAAGCUGAUGGUGGUCCAGAAGUACUUGUUUAUCUAGGAGGAAGAUAUGCUAAACCAAAUGUGAGAAAGGGAAUAUGAGUGCCAAAGAUCAAGAUGGAAGCCCCCAACCCAGUAAAAACUAGUCUCUUCAGGGUUAGACUUGCCUGAGGCACACACAGAAGGAUCCAUCCUGAGUCAGCCCCACUGACAAAAGCCUGCACAUAUUCACGGUGAGCAAGAAGAGGAACUCUUUUUCAUGAUAGUAAAAUACUUUGUACAUAUAAGGUGGAAACUUUGCCAUCUCAACAAAUUCUAUUGAUAUCUUUGCUACUUUCCUCCAUUUUAUGUGUGAACACUUUACUGCACUAAUACCUUCUAAACAUUGAGUUGGGAUUUGGUUUCCUAGACAGGGAAAAAUGAGAAAAGGCUUACUCCUCACAGAAUUCUCUGGCAAGGUAGAAUUCCCUUACAAGUUGCACACUUCCUCUGUGAAAUUUACCACAUCCAUUCAGUUUAACCCUAUGGAAAGAUCUCUCUGGUGCCCUCAGGAAUAAACAUGAAAACCUUGGUCUGACAUCCAUGAAUGCUAAGACAGUGACUCUCUAGAGUCUAACAUUCUUUUUCCAAAACAGAAGAUAUUGAUUUCUUUAGCAUGAGGAUUUUAAAACAUCUAAAAUUUAGGCUCAUUUGAGAGCUCAGUAAAACCCUAAUUCCCUGGGCAAUGCUUAGUUCAGUGGUGACUUCAGAAUGGCCAGUGUACAUAAGGUACAACUUGGCUUGCCAUUUUUAAAUUUCUCCACCCCACCCGCAAAAUACCAUCUGCCUGACACACUGCCUUUGAAAUUGUUUAUGAGCAAGUUCUCUGUUAUUUAUGAUUGUUGGACAAAAUCCAUAUGGAAAUGUAGCCUGAUACUAAGGCCUCUUGACAAUAAAAAGUCUUGAAUUUAACUUCUGUUGGCGCCAUGAUAUGACACAGUAGGAAUGUUCUUAAUAUCUCCAUGCCGUAGCUUAUUUUGAUUGUGCGUUGUGUUAUAGAAACAAUCAGGUCAUCAACAAAUUAUUCUGCUAUCCAACUGUUAGGUGGAAUUCUUUUUUAAGUAGUAACAGUGGACCUCCCUCAUUUCAAAGUUUUAGAUUUCAAACCUUUUAUUCACUUAAUUGACUGUAGGGUACAGACAUAUUUACAACUUUUAUUUCCUCAAGGAUUUUUAAUUUAAAAAAAAA
rnacentral:lncRNA from 1 species